rnacentral:lncRNA from 1 species
AAGUGAUACCAUAGUUUCUCUCUCUUUUCCCUGUUACUUUAAAAAGAAUUUUAAAAUUGUGUUUGUAUAUAAGGUCAGUCUGGCAUAGAAUUUCUGAAAGUAACAUUAAUAGGAUUUCUAAAGAAGUUGUCAGAAAGACAAAAUUGGAUAUUCUCUGCACUUUCAGAGAAGGACUAUUUAUGUUUGAAUUUCAUAACAGGCUUACAUUUCUUUUCUAUUGAUUCCCUUGCAUAUCUACAUAAUUUAAUCCUGUCUAUUGUCCCAGAUCUCUUGUGGCUACUUUACCUGUUACCUUUUUUGGGAUUUUGUUCUUUAUGUUUUACAGUUACCUUCGGACCAGAAGAUAUAUGGUAUUUUUAUUCACUUUUUUCAGUGUUUUAAAAUAAGGUUUGUUCAUUUAUUCAUUUUAUCCAUUCAUUUCCUAUUGUCGUAUAGUUCUAACCAUAUAUAUAGUACUUUAAAUAUUUUCUUAUGUUAUUAUUUAACACAAUAAUAAAUUCUUAUCUAAAGAAAAGAUUAUUUUACUUUAUUUUACUUAAAGGAAAGAGAAUUUAUUGGCAGGAUAUUGAGUAGCUUGUAGAGUAUAUGGAAGGGGAGAGCCAAGUUAGGAACUGGCAGGAGCGAGGAGGGACAAGACAGCUGCCUGCACAGUCUGAUAGGACACAUCUGGCUGCUGCCACUGGAUGCCCACAUGGGCAGCGUGUUGUAAAUAUCACCCUACCAGUUGGUAAGUUGGCAUGAAUUUUCCAUGAAACACUUGACUGCCAUUUGCAGCAUCAUAUCUACUUUUUAUGCACCUAAUUAUAUUUUUCCUUUCACUUUUAUGUUUUUUUCUAAAACUGCCACCUAAAUACCUUUCCACUCCGUUAAAUGUAUGGAGUCAAGAUAAAUUUCUCAUUCUUGCUCUACAGUUUAAGAUGUAUAAGAAGUAAACACUUCCGUGGAAUAGGGCUUAAUUUGGGGCUCAAAUGUUUUGUUUUCCUCCUGAGAUGUUUUUGAAUGGAUAAGACUACUCUGGUUUUGGAUGCAGCAACUUUUCUCCUGGCAUGGAAGAACUAAGGACUUUGAUAAACAGUUUCCCAUUGAUAGUAUAAUAUAAUGAGGGGCCCAGUCUGCUCUUGUGAAAAUUGGCUGAGCGGCAGCAGCCCAUCCCAGCUGUGUGUGAGUAGCCCCGCUGUUAAAAGUACACCUGCUGGGAAUUGUUGGCACAUGCUCAUAGCAUAUGCUCUGUGGGGGAGGUGCUUUUAAUUCCAAGAGGAGCUUUUCUCCCACAUCUGCGGAUGCAGAACAAAGAUGCAGCAGGACUUUAGAAAACAGGAGUGUUUCUACUGACAUUUUAUUCAUUGCUUUGUUAGUCCCGCAAAUGGAGCAACUUCUGGUUGUUUGUAAGCAGAAAAACAAAACAUUCAAAACCAAAAACCUAAUUAGUACUUUUGUCCUUUAUAUCCCUAGGAUGCUCUAGGGAGUAGAGGUGGCAGGCAUCUUUAUCUUCACCCACUGGCACAUUAGCAGCUUAUGCAACUUAGGAAGUCACUGGGAGAUGAGUCCUAAAAGCCUGAAUUUCAGGAUGGGGAGGAGAUAAGAAGCAGAGAACUUUGGGAGACCAUGGGGCAUUUAGUCCUGGCAUAGACACAGAAUGGAUAUUCACAGGAAGAUUCCUGAGGCCAGAUAUGCAGGAGAGCACACAUUGUCACAAGGGGUGUGGUGGGAAGAGAGGUGCUGGAUGCCUAAGACAGACUUCUGUGCUUGGCAGAUUGACUGAGUGUUGACUCUGAAUACUUUGUGGUCCAGUCCAUAAUAGGCCAGUCACUCCUGCCUGAUGCAUCCCUGUUGCACUGUUCAUAAAACCUGUAUCAUAUGGGGAAGCUUCAAGGCUGGCAGGCUUUUCAUCAAGUAAUCAUCAUUCCAUGUUCCUACGUAUCCUUGAAAUCAAAACCAGGCAAUAUGUGUGUUUUUGGUUUUGUUUUACAAAAAGGCAUACAAUGAGACGAAUUCUUAAGAUAAUGCACAUACAGAAUCAUCAAUAAAGUUUCAAAGAGUUUAUGAAGAAAAGGUAUUUUCCUUUCUUGUAAAAAAUGUUAUAUAUAUAUAAUAUUCUGAUCUGCAUUCACCUUAGGGCUUAGCCUCUUAUUUUAUGAAUUUUCAGGCUGUGAUUUGUGUUGGAUGGCUAAGCUCUAAAAUAAUGCAAAUAGCCCCAAUCUUUAAAUAUAGCGGUGCUAAGUUGAACAAGUAACACAAUACAGAAAAUGCUGAUAUGAAUACUUAGUAAUAAUACAAAAGUUCCUGCUAAAUUAUAUAUGUGUAUCACUGCCUGACUAGAAACCCCACUUUUCUUUUCUAAUCCAGCACAAAAUCAAACUCUGAUUCUACAACCAGUCUUUUUAAAGGGCAAAAAUGACUCAACACCUUUGUUUUGUAUGGAAAACUUUUUUUUUUACACUAACUGCAAAACUGCUUUAAAAAAAGGCUUAUUCAGGAUAGAUAAGCAUGUACUCCUUUUUUAACUUGCUGGAAGACUUGCCCCUCCAAACUAGCACCCCCAAAAGACAACUUCUUUCAGAAACGGGGUGUUUUACCUAAACAUAGUAGCUUACAUGUUAGCCAGCAGUAGGUCGGCACUAGUGUUUUCCACGGUUAUCACCUUUGACAGGUGAUGUGCAUCUAUAGAUAGUGGAAGCCACCCCAUGAGGAGGUGUUAAUAGCAGCAUGGUUUCACUUUUGGUAAUCAGGUAAUCAUGUGUAUAUACUUAGAUUCGCAUUAUUUUAACAUUUCUCUGCUACUCUGCACUUCAGGUUCGUUAAGCUAUUUUAAUAAUUACUGGGGUUAUGGCAAACACCAAUGGAAAUGUAUAUGGCAACUGCUUUCCUGAGCAAGUGUGAUUUGUUUUAUGGCUGUUCAAGUUAUAAAAUUGUUCUUACAUUGUAGGUAAACAAAAUCUUGAUGUUUUUAAAGGUCACUGUAACUUAAGGUUCAAAUUUCUGGCACAGUUUUAUUAGUAUUCACUUCGGAAGCUAAUAAGAUACCAUGGUUUUCUAUGUUACUCCCAUUGUAACAUUAGUAAAGUGACUUUCAAUAAAAGAUUUAUGUUAUUUU